UGUUUGACUAAUAAUUUCGAUUUAUGUAUUGGUUCACUAAUAAAUAGGAAGCACAUACAGUGUCACAUGCUACACUCACGUAUACAAUCCUAAUCUGUCUAACAAAACAGAACCAUCUCGUUCUGGUCCUUUUCUCACACACUAUGCAGGGCAAGAGUGACACGAAUCACGCAUGCAUGGCAAGUGAUGAGUAGAUGUCCUUAUCGUUUUUUGCACGGAUCACCCGAUCCCCUUUUGCUAUCUCUCCUGUGACGCUACCGCCACCACCUCUGCUCCCCAAUUCCGCCUGCCGAAGCCAUCAAUCGACACAUGCUAGCAUCCUACCAUGCUCCCCAUGGCCUGCAUCGCCAAUUUUUCACCUGCCCCAGGUCCUUCUUCCCUUGCUCGUCGUACAUGCACAGCCUAGCGCGUGUCUCCCUGCAGCUUUUGCUCAAGGAAAAAAAUAAGCAAGUGAGUAAUCUGGGUGAGGAAGAUGGUGAGUAAUAUAGGUAAGGAAGAUGGUGAGAAUACCCUGUACGGGAGACAGAGAUGGUGGACGGAGGGACCGUCGUGAGAGCGGCCAGGCGUGAGGUUCCUGGGAAGUAUGCCCUGUUCUCGUUUCUUCCUCGGCGCCCGGAGCCGUCGUGGGCAGAACACCGGAUCCGGACUCUCCGUGUUCGGUCAGCGCUCCAUUUUGCAGGUGCUGCCGCCAACCUUUGUCAGCGAGGCUCCUUGCCAGCCAGGAGGCAAGGUUCGGGUCAGAGCAGUUGCGUGCGCCCUCGUGCGUUGCAGAGGAGCUAGCAGGCUAGGAGGCGCUUUGUCGGCGAAGAAGAAGCGUGGAUCUACAACUGCCGGAGGAUGAGGAAGAGCGAGCAUGGAUUGAACCAUCAGCCAUUGUUGCAGAGGGCGGCGGUGUGUUGCGGCACCAGUGGAAGUAUGCAUCAGGGAAAGAGAAGCGAGGGAGUGCGGUCGCUCGAGGUUGAGCAAGAAUAAAUAUUGAUCCAACCGUCAGUCACCAGUAUGCCCCCUUUCUCUGUAGCGUCCCAAGAGCUUUGCUUCUGUGUGUUGCAGCGGUUGCCUAAGUUUGAAUGAAAGCUAUUGUGCUGAACAGAUUGAAAUAGGAAUUCUAGAGGGAAACCCAUAAUACCUCCACA